GGUCAAGCUACUAAGGGCGCACGGUGGAUGCCUUGGCACGAGAAGGCGACGAAGGACGCGGUAAGCUGCGAAAAGCCUCGGUGAGCUGCAAACAAGCUUCGACCCGGGGAUGUCCGAAUGGGGGAACCCGACGGGAGUCAUGUCCCGCCAUCGCCCGCUGAAUUCAUAGGCGGAGCGAAGCCAACGGGGGGAAGUGAGACAUCUCAGUACCCCUAGGAAGAGAAAGAAAAUUCGAUUCCCCGAGUAGCGGCGAGCGAAAAGGGAAGAGCCUAAACCCGAGCACGUUCGCGUGCGGAGGUGUCGCGGGAUCUGGAAGGCCUUCGGGCCGGGGAGUUACAAACCGACACGCUAGACGAACCGACUGGAAAGUCGGACCACAGAAGGUGAAAGUCCUGUAGACGAAAGCGCGUUGGCUCCCUGUUCAGACUCCCAAGUACCGCAGGACACGUGAAAUCCGGCGGGAAUCCGCGAGGACCAUCUCGUAAGGCUAAAUACUCUCUCGUGACCGAUAGCGAACAAGUACCGUGAGGGAAAGGUGAAAAGGACUCCAGGUGGAGAGUGAAAUAGAACCUGAAACCGCGCGCCUACAAGCGGUCGGAGGCCUAAUGCGGAGCUUGCUCCGCAAGCGGCUGACGGCGUGCCUUUUGCAUAAUGAUCCGGCGAGUUGCUCGUCUGCAGCGAGGUUAAGUGUCUUCUAGACACGGAGCCGUAGCGAAAGCGAGUCCGAAAUGGGCGUCCAGUUGCAGGCGGCAGACCCGAAGCCGAUGUGAUCUACCCAUGGCCAGGAUGAAGCGGAUGUCACAGUCCGUGGAGGUCCGAACCGGUUAACGUUGAAAAGUUAUCGGAUGAGCCGUGGGUAGGGGUGAAAGGCCAAUCAAACUCGGUGAUAGCUGGUUCUCCCCGAAAUAUGUUUAGCCAUAGCCUCGCGUCAUUGUGUCCCGGAGGUAGAGCACUGAUUGGGCUAGGGACCCUACCAGGUUACCAAACCCAUUCAAACUCCGAAUGCCGGUGACAUCUAUCGCGGGAGUCAGCCCACGAGGGAUAAGCUUCGUGGACGAGAGGGGAACAACCCAGACCAACAGCUAAGGUCCCAGAGUGCGGACUAAGUGCAUAAGGAUGUGGGAUCGCAUAGACAGCCAGGAUGUUGGCUUAGAAGCAGCCAUCAUUUAAAGAGUGCGUAACAGCUCACUGGUCAAGGGAUCCUGCGCCGAUAAUUUACGGGACUCAAGUCCGCCACCGAAGCUUUGGAUUCGUCGUAAGACGUCUGGUAGGGGAGCGUUCUGCUGUAGGAUGAAGCUCAACCGGCAAGGUUGGGUCGACGACGCAGAAGUGAUUAUGCCGGAACGAGUAGCGAGAAGACGGGCGAGAAACCCGUCCACCAAAAACCCAAGGUUUCCUGAGGAAGGUUAAUCCGCUCAGGGUUAGUCGGACCCUUAGGUGAGGCCGAAAGGCGUAACCGAUGGAAAGCAGGUCAAUAUUCCUGCACCACUGGAAGGGCGACCAAGACGCGAAGGGGUGACGCAGAAGUGAAAGACCAUCCGGCGAUCGGUAGUGCCGGUCUAAGCCCGUAGGAGGAUCCGCUAGGCAAAUCCGGUGGAUCAUUAACUCCGAGAGGUGAUGGGGAAACGAGCCGCAAGGCGAGCCAACUGGUCCUAAUCAUGCUGCCGAGAAAAACCUCGUAGCGAGUUCUUUCGGUGACCGUACCGUAAACCGACACAGGUAGGUGGGGUGAGUAUCCUAAGGUGCUCGAGUGAGUCUUGCAGAAGGAACUAGGCAAAAUAGCCCCGUAACUUCGGAAGAAGGGGUGCCCGGCGUGUGAAGGGACUUGCUCCCGUAAGCACGCUGGGCCGCAGUGAAUGGAGUCAAGCGACUGUUUACCAAAAACACAUCUCUCUGCUAAGCCGAUGAGGCGACGUAUAGGGAGUGACACCUGCCCGGUGCCGGAAGGUUAAAGAGAGGGGUCAGGCGCAAGCUAAAGCUCUGAACUGAAGCCCCGGUAAACGGCGGCCGUAACUAUAACGGUCCUAAGGUAGCGAAAUUCCUUGUCGGGUAAGUUCCGACCUGCACGAAUGGUGUAACGACUUGACUGCUGUCUCCUGCAAGAGCUCGGCGAAACUGUAGCAGCGGUGAAGAUGCCGCUUACCCGCGACUGGACAGAAAGACCCCGUGCACCUUUACUGUAACCUGAUAUUGGGUUCUGAUCUUUCAUGUGUAGGAUAGGUGGGAGGCUUUGAAGCGGGGGCGCUAGCCCUCGUGGAGCCAACCUUGAAAUACCACCCUUGAAAUAUCGGGAUUCUAACCCUGAGCCGUAAGCCGGCCAUGGAACAGUGUCAGGCGGGCAGUUUAACUGGGGCGGUUGCCUCCUAAAAGGUAACGGAGGCGCCCAAAGGUUCCCUCAGCGCGGUUGGUAAUCGCGCGUGGAGUGCAAUGGCACAAGGGAGCUUAACUGCGAGACGGACAGGUCGAGCAGAUGCGAAAGCAGGGCAUAGUGAUCCGGUGGUUCUGCAUGGAAAGGCCAUCGCUUAACGGAUAAAAGGUACGCCGGGGAUAACAGGCUGAUCCUUCCCGAGAGUUCACAUCGACGGAGGGGUUUGGCACCUCGAUGUCGGCUCAUCGCAUCCUGGGGCUGGAGAAGGUCCCAAGGGUUGGGCUGUUCGCCCAUUAAAGCGGUACGUGAGCUGGGUUCAGAACGUCGUGAGACAGUUCGGUCCCUAUCCAUCGUGGGCGGAGGAUCCUUGCGGGGAGUUGCUCCUAGUACGAGAGGACCGGAGCGAACGAACCUCUAGUGUACCGGUUGUCCUGCCAUGGGCACCGCCGGGUAGCUAUGUUCGGACGUGAUAAGCGCUGAAAGCCUCUAAGCGCGAAGCACACCCCAAGAUUAGGGAUCCCGUGGCGCAAGCCACCUGAAGGCUCGUCGGAGAUUACGACGUCGAUAGGCGGGAGGUGUAAGGUCCGUGAGGAUUUCAGCCGACCCGUACUAAUCAGCCGUGAGGCUUGGCCGG
rnacentral:rRNA from 1 species